GGAGGGGGGAAGCCCGUAUUUCAAAUUAAUAAGCGGGGCCUUUCUUUUGCCCCGUGCAACCUGCCCGCUGCCCGCGCACACUGGCUAUCUAGCAUCCCGCGCGCUGAGCCUCUCUCCCCCCUUGCGGCAUGUGCACGUGCAAGGGCUCUGCGAGCGUGCGGUGCCUUACUGCUCGGGAGUGCAGCGUCCUUCACAGCGGAUUGGUUCCUCUUUCGGAGCAGAGGUAUGGAAUCGAGGCACAAAGAGAUUAUGGUGCUUCAAGGAAACACUCAAAGUUCUUAUCCUUUGUACAAAGGUGAAUAGAUUGAAAAUGAAAACAGAAUCAACAUCUUUUGGAGACUAUAGUUUUACCUUCAAAUGACCUAAACAUUACACAAACACAACAUAUUCUAAUCAAAUUUGUGGAGAGCACAAAAAGACUGCUUGAUAAAAACACUGAGCAAGAGAUCCAUCAUCAACUACACUGGACAGUCUCUCCAUAGGAGCCUAUUGC